AUUGUCGUGGGUCCCACCAGGGAAUGAUUGGGCAGAGGCGCCAAGGUGAAAGUAUUCUUGACUUUAAUGCAAGAACAGAGCACACCAAUUGCUCCACAAAGGUUAACCAACAUAGACUUCUCCAAUCCAACACUCCAAAUUCUCCUCUCAGACUCUCCAACUUCUCCACUCAGACUCCCACACUGACAGCUGUAUCUGGUUCUCUUUUAAGUGGUAAGCCCCUCCUCCUGGGCGUUGCUCUCCAUCAGUCCAAAGAGAAAAUAGGGACAAGUGUUUACAUUGUUCAAGAACAUAAACAUACAGGAAUAAACAGUUUCAUUCAACUAAACAUUCUGUGUCGUGUACAGAAAAAUAACAAUAAUCAUCAAUAAAAAUAAAUACAAACAGUGACCGAUGCGUCACAUGACCCAGGGUGUCCAUGACCACUUCCGGGUUACCGGGUUACUUCCGGGUAAACAAACCAACGUUAAUGUUGGCGUCGUGUGUGCUUCGUGUUAAUGUAUGCAUGGGGAUGGUGAGUCGGCAACCUAGUGUGCACCCAGGGCUACCUGCAGAGGGAUAGGGACGGAAUGAAAAGGGUAAGCUGAUGUAAAUGACGUGUUACCGGGUCCGAGCGUGCGCGUCUAUGCGCACGUGUGUAUGUGUGCGAGCGUGUGUGCAUGCGUGUGCGCCUGCAGCGGCAGCUGACGGUUCUACACCGUCACAUCAUCCCCCUCCUCUGGGAGAUUGGCGAUGUGCGGCAAUCUGGACAGGAAAUCUGCCACUAUGUUUUGUUUUCCGGGACGGUGACGUACGUUAAAUUUGUACGGCUGAAGCGCCAGAUACCAGCGCGUAAGCCGGUUGUGGUGGUCCUUCAUGGUAUUUAUCCAUGUCAGGGCCCUGUGGUCUGUCUCAAGGUCGAAUUCUCUGCCAAGUAAGUAGUACCUCAAGCUAUCCAACGCCCACUUAAUGGCAAGUCCUUCCUUCUCCACAGUGGAGUACCUUGUCUCUCUCGGCUGCAGUUUCCGACUGAGGUACAGGACUGGUCGCUCUUCACCUGGGUCUCCCUGAGCCAGGACAGCACCAAGUCCGACUGCUGAGGCAUCCACUUGGACGAGGAACCUUUGAUCAAAGUCACGGGGUUUUUCUGCCUCUUCUCUGUAAGGGCAGUGAGAGGAGCUGCAAUGGUGGCGAACUGAUGGACAAACCGCCGGUACCAUCCAGCUAACCCCAGGAAGGAGCGUACCUCUUUCUUGGUGCGUGGUCGAGGGCAAUUGCGGAUAACUUCAACUUUAUCCACCUGCGGACGCACCUCACCACCUCCCAGCAGGUACCCCAGUUUCCUCAGGACCA